GUGCUUGCUUCAGCAGCACAUAUACUAAAAUUGGAACAAUACAGAGAAGAUUAACAUGGCCCCUGUGCAAGGAUGACAGGCAAAUUCAUGAAGCAUUCCAUAUUUUU